UCAUUUUACGAUUAUUGUAAGUUGAAAACAAAAUCAAUGAAUGUGUCAUUUUUUACCUUGAUCUCGCGAAAUCAGUCGUUGACGACAUUUUUGAUUGUAUCAAGCUUUUGGUGUUCGAUUCAACGACUAUUGACGAAGAUUAAGGGUUUUGGGUUCAGAAAAAUAGAGAGAGAAAUUAUGGGGAAAGGGUCAUGCUUCUCAAUGACUAUAGCACACAAUUCAUAAUUUUAGUGUGUGUGUUGAAUUUGGUUUUCUGUGAAUGUGUCUUCGUUUAUAUGUUAAAGAUCCAAGUGAAAGUUCCAAGUGAUUGAGGAGUGGGUGAGAUCAUUCACAGGGUGGGUAGUGUGCAUCCCCUAAGCCGAUAAGUUCUUUUGCAUAAUUCUAUAAUGCUCAUAACAUGUUUGAUGAAAUGCUUAAGGGUUUAUUUCUAUUCCAAAUUACUCAAAUUGCAUUUUGUUUGAGAAUAUCUUUAUGAAUUUUGAGAUCCAUGAUUAUUAUCUCCCUUCAUUUCAUCUUCUUAAAGAUAGUGAUUCAAGGUUGUUUUUUAAUUACAUUUUUUAUGUAAAUAUUGAACGCAUAUAUAUUCUUAAAUCAUAUUUCUUUAAAGUUUUUUAGGCACUUCCACGUAAAGUAAUAAAGGUAGGUACAUUUCCAUUUUAGUUAUCAUAUGGGUUUGAGAACCUGAUGUUUGUUGUAUUCUUCUUCAGGCUAUGUACAAAAGAUGAGUUUAGAAUUUUAUUAUGCGUUAAUAGAACAUGCGCCCCCUGUGUUCUGUGAAAUGUUUCACCUUUUUUACGCAAGUGCAACCAUCUUUAUCGGCCUUGAAAUGAGUGUUUGGUUCAGGAUCAUGACCUAAGGAGCUAGGAUUAGUAAGUUUAUGUCUGGUAAAAUCAAAAUUAUAUAUUAUCCACUCUUAAAAUAUACUAAAUUCAGUAGUGAAAGUACGUUUUGGUA